rnacentral:rRNA from 1 species
AUUGAACGCUGGCGGCAGGCCUAACACAUGCAAGUCGAGCGGAGCGGCGGACGGGUGAGUAAUGCCUAGGAAUCUGCCUGGUAGUGCGGGAUAACGUUCGGUAACGGGCGCUAAUACUGCAUACUAACUGACGAGCCUAGGUCGGAUUAGCUAGUUGGUGGGGUAAAGGCCAACCACGGCGACGAUCCGUAACUGGUCUGAGAGGAUGAUCAGUCACCAUGGAACUGAGACACGAUCCAGACUCCUACGAGAGGCAGCAGUGGGGAAUAUUGGACAAUGGGCGAAAGCCUGAUCCAGCCAUGCAGCGUGUGUGAAGAAGGUCUUCGGAUUGUAAAGCACUUUAAGUUGGGAGGCGUUACCAACAGAAUAAGCACCGGCUGACUUCGUGCCAGCAGCCGCGGUAAUAC